UCAUAAGGGUAUAAAGGGUAAUUUCCCUUUUUGAUAUUUUAGGUAAUUUAGAUAAUAUUUGGGUUGCCAGUCUAAUACUACAUUACAUCAUGUUUGGAAUUGGUUUUAUAACCUUAAAAUGUCAAAACAUGGUUAAAAAAUAAGAUGAAGUUUUAUCCUCAUGUAGCCUAAUCAGUCAAUCCAGAGAGCAACUGUAGCUCUCUAUUUCUAUCCUGUCUGGCAUCCAAUUUUAUGUAAAUAAUCAACAGUUUAAUUGAUUUUUUAAAGGUUGUAGAGUUCAUAAGGUUCUGCAAAACAGUAAUAACCCAAUUAUAGAUCCAUUACAAUGGUAAAUCCAAUCCAAAUAUGGAAAAAAGAAUAUACUUAGAGCAAGGAAUAUGUAUAAAUAAGAUGUUCAAUUAUUAAAGUAAACAAACUGUAUCACAUAUUUCAUUCUCUGAUUGAAAGAUUAGAAUGGGUAUCUGACUUUCCAUGUCUCAAACAAACGUGUUAAUAUUUUGGAUAAAAUGUUGAACUCACAAGCUUUAAAGAUGGAAACAUUUGAACAAACUGUACAUUAAUCACUUUCUAUUCAGUUUAUAGUGUUUCUGUGUUGUCAAUAUCACUUUCCAUUCUGUUAGUCUUGUCAUAGGCUAUCCAAAAGUCUGGUAAUUUCCAAAAGACACUGAAAUCAUUCUCAAGAAGCAAACAACAGUAAGUAUUUACAAUGGAUUUCAUGAGUUAUUCUUGAGUUAUUAGUUGGUUUGUCAUUCUACAUCCCAUCCUGUAAUUAGUUCUCAAAAUGUCAAAACUUCCAUUCUUUGAGCAAAUGUGUGCUCUUUAUUUCUAUCCUGUCUGGCAUCCAGUUUUGUGUAAAUAAUCAACUUUUAUUGACUUUUAAAGGUUGCAGAGUUUAUACGGUUCUGCAGAGCAGCAAUGACCCAAAUGGAGAGCCAAUGCAAUGGUAACUUGUUGCACAACUGAUGGCUGUGAGUAAAUGUGAUUUUAAAACCCUCACAUUCCUGUGCGCACGCCAACACAACGUCACGCGCCACUGCAUCCCUUUAACUCUUCCAUAACCUAAAAAAAAAACGCUGGAAUGAGCUUCUGACUUCCCAGCAGUUCUUAGGGAGUUUUUACUGAUUUAAUCAGUAGUGCUCUUGGGAGCCGUGUGUGUCUGGAAUAUCCACGCUGGUAGAUUAUUCACCCGCGCUGGACUUCGUUCAGCCUCGAAGCCUGAUUCAUCCCUGCCAAGAGAACAUGUGAUUCAUGACGGCUGGCAAAAUUAUGGAAAGUCCCUUUGCGGAGACCACGUGGUUCUGCCUUUCCAAAUUUCAGGGUUUUUAUGGUUCAUUUAUGCAUUACCGAAACAGAGUUGGCCUAUAAUUUUGAUUGGCUGCAUGUAGGUCAUAGGUGCAACUCUUCCAAAAUGAAAGCAAACAUUACGAUUAUGUUGCACAGGGAAAUUGGGAAUUAUGUCAACAUUGCAGCAUCACAGUUUUCCCCUCUCUCCGUCUGUCUGAAGGUCUUUCCGUUCAGCACAAAAGACGAGGUGAUUCAGGAGCCGCAGGCACCGACUGGGACUUGUUUUUGCAGGCACUCAUGAGGAAGUAAGAGAGUUAGGCAUGUACCUCACCCAUCCGUGGAAAAACAAACCAAGCCUAAACUGGCAGCAGGCCAGAGAUCUGUGAACACGCUCUGCUGGACGAGUCGCUGCAAUGCCAAAAACACGCUGACAGCGAGUGCAUGUUGCAGAAACAUGAUCACUGCUGCUUUGUGCAUUUCUGUUUUGACAGCAGAAGUUACAGCAGGCGGUCAGGAAGGGAUGCAUGCUGCUAUAAUGUGUCUAAAACCAAGAUAAAAGGAAACUAUGUAAAUGCAUGGGUCAUGUAAAUCUCCUUUCGCGAACAACGCCAAAGGUGUUGCAACACAUAACAUUACGCCUGUCAAUGCACCACCGUGAAUAUACAACAUGCAUUUCAGUUCCACCUAAAAGCACGAGUCAGCAACAGCAGGGAAUGUGAAUGACACGCAGAACAAUGUUAGCCUUUUCUGCAUUUAGAUGGAAUGCAUUGUUCACUGUUAUGGCUUUAAAGUGCAGGAUAAACACUUUCUGCUCGACGUAAUCCUCUCCAGUGACUAACGUGUGAGAUUAGAGCACAUGUUGCUUACUGGCGUUUUCUCUGGGCUUUCUCUUGUCAUCAUGCCAUCAGGUUUUCUAGGUAAACCUCCCCCUCCUAAGGCUCUUAGUUAAGCUGGUUUAGCAGAAUUGGAACAUCCCUCACCUAAGGCCUUGUCUUGAGAAACUCACCUCUAGUUACUCUGAUUGGCCGGCUGAUUUUAUUUCUGUAGUCUUGUCUAUCCGCUCCAUAUUACGCAAUCUAGUGUAUAGGGAUAAUGCGUGUAGACGGGUAGCAGACGUGUGAAGGGAUAAGAUAAGGGUUUAUAGUGACAGAAGUUUACUAGAGCCCACAGAGAACACAGACCCAACUAAUGCACAUGUAAGUGAAAUGAAACCCUAAAAUAAUAAUAAUCAUAGCAUACAGGAAAAAAAUAUGCACUUUUAUAUAUAAGAACUUGUUGUAUUCAUAAUGUCUAAAUCAUUUUGGAUAAAAUAAUCUGCUAAAUAAAUACAGAUGUAAAUAUAUGUUAUACAUACAUGCAUUUAGGUGAUGAAUAUGGUCUUAAAUUCACACUCUAUGAGCUCAAAUUUAAGGGUAUUCUCAUCACAAUUGGAGCAAAGGUUAAAUAAUGUCUGCUCUUUACUAUGCAUCUCCCAUUUUUUUCAAGGGACCAUUAGGAAUUGGAAAACUGACUCAAACGCUGGUCAAUGGACGGAUGUGGCGUAUAUACUAUUCGUUCAUUAUUUCUACAUCAAUUAAGCAGGUAAAAGGUGUAGGGUUGAUUCUGAGUGUGUUGUUUGCUUUUGGAAGCUGUUGCAUCAUGCAGUCAAAGGAUCUCUCCAUACAAGCGAAACCAUUCAGAAACCAAACGAAUCCAUCAGGGAGACAGCAGGAACAUUAGGAGCGGCCAAAUCAACAGUCUGAGCUAAAGAGCACUGGGAACUACUUAAGCAAAAGGAAAGCAGAGCAGAGCAAGAAAACAAUUCGGUGCUCGACAGACUUUAAUAAGCGCCUUCUGAGGUUUCCAGGAAUUGUGGGCAGACGGAUCCAUUGCACAUGUGCUCCUACAGCAGGACCGAGUGCAUGCAGCCCGCUUAAAUACUCACAUGGGAGGAAUUGGACAGAUCCGGACCGGAGAGAUGGGUUAGACUUGGAGGACGAGACGGGUCAGGUGUCUAGACGAUCUGAGAACCGAGACAAAACAGAUACAUGUCCAGUUCUCUUCUUGUGAUUAGAACAUUAAAGGUUACAGAAAUAUU